rnacentral:rRNA from 1 species
GGAACCCUACGGGGGGCAGCAGUGAGGAAUAUUGGUCAAUGGGCGCGAGCCUGAACCAGCCAAGUCGCGUGAGGGAUGACGGCCCUACGGGUUGUAAACCUCUUUUGUCGGGGAGCAAAUUCCGUUACGUGUAACGGAGUCGAGAGUACCCGAAGAAAAAGCAUCGGCUAACUCCGUGCCAGCAGCCGCGGUAAUACGGAGGAUGCGAGCGUUAUCCGGAUUUAUUGGGUUUAAAGGGUGCGUAGGCGGACUGUCAAGUCAGCGGUAAAAUACGGGGGCUCAACCCCGUCGAGCCGUUGAAACUG